ensembl:lncRNA
GUCACUUAGAGGUCAGAUGCCUGUCUUGUGACAAGGAACCAAUCAGAAGUUAGCUGGUGGCGCUAUGCUUUACGACCCUGGGUGUGCUUUACGGACAAGCGCACAGCAAUGACAUAGAGAGCAUAGCAACCACCCUGGGAGGGCCUAUGAGCCAUAGCAACCAGUUGACCAAUCAACACAGGGCAAGCCCUCCAAGCCUGGAGGCACACCAAUCAUGAGCCUGUGCGUAAGCCUGUGCGUACCCCUAGACACUCCCCUUACGCUGCCCUAUAAGAUCUUUGGGGAGACCUUAGGAGCCGUCUUUUCUAGCCGUCUGCCAUGGCGGGUGGGUGAAAGACCCGAGCUAACAUGGGGUUAGUUCGUUAAAUUACAAUAAAGCCUCGUGCAGUUUGCAGCAAGCUCUCGAAUCCGCCUGGUGAUUGGGGUGACCGCGAACCUGGCCUGAGACCCCGGAUACUUGAGUUUUCGGGGGUCUAACAUUUUGGGGGCUCGUCCGCGAUUUGCGACCACCCUUCACCUGAGUGGAUUCGAUCUUGGAGGUAAGAUGAUUAGAGCUCGCAAUUUAUAUAUGUUCAAUGUUCUAUGUUUCUUGUUUUGUCUCUUGCUGUUUUGUUUGAAUUUGUAAUUUGUAUUUGAUCUGCGCAGAAUUUGUAAUUGAACCAUAGGGUAAGCAGACUUGCGAGAACCUUGGUUCCACCCUGGAUGAAAGUCCAAGGUUUGGUUGUAAUUUUGGUUUGGGGCACCAUUUCUUUGCCGCGGUUUGUGCUGUCUAAUGUGCUGUCAUUUGUGUUAUGUGUUUCUUAAGCAUCUCUUUCUGUCCCACAUUGCCCAUGCACGUGGCAUGCAUGGGUCAGGGGUCUUUUCUUGUUGCCCUAAGCACAUGGCACGGGAAAGGAGUUCUGCCAUGUGUCACGGGUUAGAAUGUGUUAUGUUGGAGUCCCCCGAGGCUGCUUUUCUGAACUCGAACCACUGCUGCAGCCCUUACAGCUGAGCCUGGCCCAUGUAGGUGAGUCUUUCCCUAUCCCCACUUGCCGGUCCCGUGGGUCCCUGCCAUUUGCCUAGCUGCCCGGCAUUCUUUGUGCUCUACACACAUGGUAUGCAGGGGGGCCGCAGGAGUCUUUCCCACCCCUGGAUUGGCCAAGGGUCUGGGGUUACCAGCAGCACCCCUACCCCAGGUCUCUCUGCCUUGAGCACAUGGAGCUCGAGCAUAUGAACUUAUCUGGCCUGAUCCGGACAUCUAAAUGG